rnacentral:rRNA from 1 species
GUAGGGAAUAUUGGGGAAUGGGCGAAAGCCUGACCCAGCAACGCCGCGUGCGCGAAGAAGGCCUUCGGGUUGUAAAGCGCUUUUCUCAGGGAUGAGGAAGGACAGUACCUGAGGAAUAAGUCUCGGCUAACUACGUGCCAGCAGCCGCGGUAACACGUAGGAGACGAGCGUUAUCCGGAUUUACUGGGUGUAAAGCGCGUGUAGGCGGCGAGGUAAGUUGGAUGUGAAAGCUCCCGGCUUAACUGGGAGAGGUCGUUCAAGACUGCCUGGCUAGAGUGCAGCAGAGGGGAGUGGAAUUCCGAGUGUAGCGGUAAAAUGCAUAGAUAUUCGGAAGAACACCAGUGGCGAAGGCGGCUCUCUGGGCUGCAACUGACGCUCAGACGCGAAAGCUAGGGGAGCGAACGGGAUUAGAAACCCUAGUAGUCC